rnacentral:rRNA from 1 species
UACGAGGGGGGCGAGCGUUGUCCGGAUUUAUUGGGCGUAAAGAGCGUGUAGGCGGCUUGGUAGGUCCGCUGUGAAAACUCGAGGCUCAACCUCGAGACGCCGGUGGAAACCAUCAGGCUAGAGUCCGGAAGAGGAGAGUGGAAUUCCUGGUGUAGCGGUGGAAUGCGCAGAUAUCAGGAGGAACACCGAUGGCGAAGGCAGGUCUCUGGGCCAUUACUGACACUGAGAAGCGAAAGCAUGGGGAGCGAACAGG